GUAUUAGGAGUAGAUUAGGUUAUGUGUAUUAUAUAUAGGGCUCAUUAUGUCAUGUUUAGUAUUAAUUAUAUAUUUUUCUCCCGUGCUUUCUCACAUGGUAUCAGAGCUUUGGUGAGAAUAUUAUAGCUGUGCGUCAUUCCAGCUAGUUCCGGGAAGAAAGACCUCGUCGCCGUGCAAUUUUCCGGCGACUUAAGAGGCUGUCCGUAACUAAACUACCUUUUUUAUUGGUGUUGUGCAAAAUCCGAGACCACCGCGAGGUUCGGAAGAGAAUUCCGACCAACCCCAGAAAAAAUCACCGGAG
rnacentral:lncRNA from 1 species